UUUAUUUUUAUUUUUCUCUUCCACUCUCUCUCUCUCUCUUAUUCUUUGUUCUUCUUCUCUUCCACGAUGAACCCUCUGACCAUCGUGCUUCACCGUUAGAUCGACAUGGGGUUCCAGGCAAAGCUUCCCUUCCCUGAGAUGCAACACCUAACCAUUCAGAUAGGCUUAAAACGUCUUGGAGCGUAGACUAAACCUUGGACCAGUGAAGAAGAUUCUUCUUCUGUGUCAAUAGGGAUGUUGUGCGGAAUUUGGGUCUGAAAUAGGGAUUGAUUCUAGUUUCGGACCAUGGAGAUUGGUGUUUCUAACAGGCAGUGAGGGCUUUGGCCUCACUUGGUCUAAAAUGUGACCGUAGAUCUGUUAGCAUCAACGAUGAAGCGCUUGUUCAAAUUUCGGAGUGUUGCUGGAACUUGACUUGUCUUAAGUUCUGAGCAUGUCAAGACUUAACCAAUGCAGGGGGUUGUAAAAGAAAAAGAAGACGAUGAUAAUAAAAAAGCAAUGGGUUGUAGAAAAUUUAUUUGUUUAAAAUGAGAAAAACUAUAGGCUGCAACAUUUUCCACCUAAAAAGUAAAAGAUUGAAAAUGUGAGAAUAUUGACUUGUUUCAAAUGAAAAUAAGAUGGACUUGUACUUUUAUUUUAA